rnacentral:rRNA from 1 species
GACGAACGCUGGCGGCGUGCUUAACACAUGCAAGUCGAACGGAAAGGCCCUGCUUUUGUGGGGUGCUCGAGUGGCGAACGGGUGAGUAACACGUGAGUAACCUGCCCUUGACUUUGGGAUAACUUCAGGAAACUGGGGCUAAUACCGGAUAGGAGCUCCUGCUGCAUGGUGGGGGUUGGAAAGUUUCGGCGGUUGGGGAUGGACUCGCGGCUUAUCAGCUUGUUGGUGGGGUAGUGGCUUACCAAGGCUUUGACGGGUAGCCGGCCUGAGAGGGUGACCGGCCACAUGGGGACUGAGGUACGGACCAGACUCCUACGGGAGGCAGCAGUGGGGAGUAUGGCACAGUGGGCGGAAGCCUGAGGCAGCAGCGCCGCGUGCGGGAUGACGGCCUUCGGGUUGUGAACCGCUUUCGCCUGUGACGAAGCUGGAGUGACGGUAAUGGGUAAAGAAGCACCGGCUAACUACGUG